UACGGAGGGGGCUAGCGUUGUUCGGAAUUACUGGGCGUAAAGGGCGCGUAGGCGGCGCAACAAGUCACUUGUGAAAUCUCCGGGCUUAACCCGGAGCGGUCAAGUGAUACUGUCGUGCUAGAGUGCGGAAGGGGCUACUGGAAUUCUCGGUGUAGCGGUGAAAUGCGUAGAUAUCGAGAGGAACACCUGCGGCGAAGGCGGGUAGCUGGGCCGACACUGACGCUGAUGCACGAAAGCCAGGGGAGCGAACGGG
rnacentral:rRNA from 1 species